rnacentral:rRNA from 1 species
GACGAACGCUGGCGGCGUGCUUAACACAUGCAAGUCGAACGGAAAGGCCCUGCUUUUGUGGGGUGCUCGAGUGGCGAAAGGGUGAGUAACACGUGAGUAACCUGCCCUUGACUUUGGGAUAACUUCAGGAAACUGGGGCUAAUACCGGAUAGGAGCUCCUGCUGCAUGGUGGGGGUUGGAAAGUUUCGGCGGUUGGGGAUGGACUCGCGGCUUAUCAGCUUGUUGGUGGGGUAGUGGCUUACCAAGGCUUUGACGGGUAGCCGGCCUGAGAGGGUGACCGGCCACAUUGGGACUGAGAUACGGCCCAGACUCCUACGGGAGGCAGCAGUGGGAAAUAUUGCACAAUGGGCGGAAGCCUGAUGCAGCAACGCCGGGUGCGGGAUGACGGCCUUCGGGUUGUAAACCGCUUUCGCCUGUGACGAAGCGUGAGUGACGGUAAUGGGUAAAGAAGCACCGGCUAACUACGUG